rnacentral:lncRNA from 1 species
GUGUGUCUCUCUCUGUCUUUCUCUGUGUCUGUCUCUCUCUUUGUGUCUUUCUCUCUCUGUGUGUAUGUGUGUGUCUCUCUGUGUCUCUGUCUCUGUCUCUCUCUCUCUCUUUCUGUGUGUGUCUCUCUCUGUGUGACUCUUUCUGUCUCUGUCUCUCUCUCUCUCUCUCUCCUUCAGAGUGCUGCUUUCUUGUAUGUUUGAACUCUUGUCUCCAGGUAGCUUUUUUCAAUUAUUUGGAAAACGUUUAGUUUAAUAGCAACUGUGGAAAGGCCAGACUCCUGCACAGGCCGUGGAAAAGAUCUCCCAGGGCGGGCGGGUUCUUGGUUAGAAAAAAAGAGUAUCCGUGUGUAUAAAUGUAUGGUACUCCAUACAGAAGAAGUCCUGAGAAGCGGUGUGAUAAAAUUUCACUUGCAUGAUAAAGCUAAGGAAACUGCACAAGGAAAGCCCCGUAGAGCAGCGGAGUGUGGAACGUGCUCAGGUGGAAGCUGCCUUAUCAGGACAUCUUACUCCAGGGGGGAUGCUCAAGAUGGACUCCUUGUGCCUUGCAAGAUGCUGCUCUUUUUAACAUUGUCAAAUAACACCUGCUCACUAUGGAAACUUUUUAAAUACAGAGAAACAGUGAAACAAAUUUACCCACAGUCAUCAGCUCACCUUAUUAUUGGCUUUUUUUGCUGUGUUCCUGUUUUUCGCGGGGUUUGCCAGAACCUCAAACAAGCACCCAGCCUUCUUGUGUAUUUUUCCCCAAAAUAUUACUAUUCAGAUGACCUUUUUUCGACUCAUUUGGGGCGGGGUAUUCGUUUUAGUUUUAUGUUGCUGUUGAGACAAGGUCUCACUGUGUAACCCUGGCUGGCUGGAACUUGCUGUAUCAGGCUAAACUCAAACUCACAGA